rnacentral:rRNA from 1 species
UACGUAGGGUGCGAGCGUUGUCCGGAAUCACUGGGCGUAAAGGGCGCGUAGGCGGCUCGGUCAGCGUGCGGUGAAAGCCCGGGGCUCAACCCCGGGUCGGCCGUGCGAACUGCUGGGCUGGAGCACUGUAGAGGCAGGUGGAAUUCCGGGUGUAGCGGUGGAAUGCGUAGAGAUCCGGAAGAACACCGGUGGCGAAGGCGGCCUGCUGGGCAGUAGCUGACGCUGAUGCGCGACAGCGUGGGGAGCAAACAGG